GCGCAGGUGGGACAGUGGUUACUCCGGUCGGCUGCAGCCCGACUUUUCCCAGGUUCGAAUCCUGGCCUGCGCU
rnacentral:tRNA from 1 species